AUGCUACUCCCUCCGUCCGAAAAUACUUGUCAAAGAAAUGGAUGUAUCUAGACGUAUUUUAGUUCUAGAUACAUCCACUUUUAUCCAUUUCUGCGACAAGUAAUUCCGGGCGGAGGGAGUAUAUU
rnacentral:pre_miRNA from 1 species